rnacentral:lncRNA from 1 species
ACCUAAGCAAGCCUGGGCAAUGGCGGGCGCCCCUCCCCCAGCCUCGCUGCCGCCUUAAAGUUUGAUCUCAGACUGCUGUGCUAGCAAUCAGCGAGAUUCCGUGGGCGUAGGACCCUCCGAGCCAGGUGUGGGAUAUAAUCUUGUGGUUCACCGUUUUUUAAGCCGGUCUGAAAAGCGCAAUAUUCGGGUUGGAGUGACCCGAUUUUCCAGGUGCGUCCGUCACCUCUUUCUUUGACUCGGAAAGGGAACUCCCUGGCCCCUUGCGCUUCCCAAGUGAGGCAAUGCCUCGCCCUGCUUCGGCUUGCGCACGGUGCGCGCACCCACUGGCCUGCGCCCACUGUCUGGCACUCCCUAGUGAGAUGAACCCGGUACCUCAGAUGGAAAGGCAGAAAUCACCCGUCUUCUGCGUCGCUCACACUGGGAGCUGUAGACUGGAGCUGUUCCUAUUCGGCCAUCUUGGCUCCUCCCCCCAUUUGUGAUUUCUUUCAGCAGCAUUUUGUAGUUCUUGCAGAGAUGUUUCACAUCCUUGGACGGAAGACACGGCGCUCACUCCCGGGAAGGGCAGCAACAGGCGCCCCUUGGAAGCAGCCUUCAGCGGACACCUGAACGAAUCCGAGACUUUCCGACCACCAGAAGGGCAAAAAAAUAAUUUUCUGUUGUUUGUAAACAACAGAGAUUUUUCAUAACAGUCCAAACAAACUAAAACAUAUAUUAAUAGUUUGGGGCUUAUGCUAGCAUAUCUGGAAGCAUUGACUGCUGUAUAAUGUUAUUUCUUUUGUCAUUAUGUAAUGCAACUGAUGCAGGCAUGUGUGAUACAACUUAAAAGAAGACAAAACCUUGGGGUCGGGGAGAGCGUAUGGUAGACUCUGCCCCCACCCUCAUCCCCGCUGAGAGACUGAAUAUACAAAUGACAAUGGCCAGACCAUCUAUAAAAAUAGAAUCUGACCCACAUCCCCCAGCAACCUGCCCGGGAAGCCAGCCCCAGGGCUCUAGCAACCAGCCAAAAAAGCCAAACAAUAGCCAGUGCAACAAUCAGUCCCAAACAGUGAGACCUCAUUAAUAACUGACAGCCUCCUUAAUUUUUGCCCCCAGGUCCAACUUAGGACCAACCUGAGAAAGCCAAAUUUGCCCAGGACGGCACCAUGGGUUUUGGCUGGAGCACAGUAUUGCUGUUUGCUGUGAUGGGAAGUCCACAGAAGGAUCUCUCUUCUCCAGGGCUACUCAGAGUGUAGUCUGCGGAAUCGACGCUGGUCCAGGAACUCUUUGCUACUGUAUUACACCUUCUUGGGUUGCUGUAAAGAAAUACCUGAGGCUGGGUAACUUAUAAAGAAAAGAGGUUUAAUUGGCUCACAGUUCUGCAGGCUGUACAGGAAGCAUGGCGCUGGUAUCUGCUUCUGGUGCGGGCCUCAGGGAAUUUACAAUCGUGGCAGAAGGUGAAGGAGAAGCAGGCACGUCCCAUGGCAAAAAAGGGAGCAAGAGAUAGAGAGAGGAGGUGCCACACACUUUUAAACAACCAGCUCUCACGUGAACUCACUCAUCACCAAGACAAUGGUGCUAAGCCAUUCGUGAGGGGUCCACCCCCAUGAUCCACUACCGCCCACCAGGCCCCACCUCCAGCACAGGAGAUUACAUCUCAACAUGAGAUUUAGAGGGGAUGAAUAUCCAAACCAUCAGUUACCAAGCUGCAAUUGAGAUGUAUAUUGACAAUGUUCAGAAACUUUCAGAGCAAUUGUGGCAUAGUUAUGGUAAUUAUACCUAUUGAAUGUAUGUUGAACCUAAUAAUUAGAAGUUGGGAUUUAUCAUUUGCAUCUUUUUUUAGUAAUUUAUUUCUAUUUUACUUUAUAAAAAGAUUAAUCUGCAAUGAGUCAAAAAUAAAAAUCAAACUGAUCUUUCACUACAAAGAAUUUGAGAACCCUUGUGGCUGUUCUCCUUAUAGAAAUGAAUGGAGUCAAAGGUAGUGGAUGACAGUGGGUUAUCGAUAGAUACAAUGGAAACUCCUUGCAUUAAUAAAUAAAUGUGUGAGUUGA